rnacentral:rRNA from 1 species
AUGUGGAUUAAUCGUAUGCAACGCGAAAACCUUACCUACCCUUGACAUGCUAGGAACUUGCCAGAGAUGGCUUGGUGCCCGAAAGGGAACCUAGACACAGGUGCUGCAUGGCUGUCGUCAGCUCGUGUCGUGAGAUGUUGGGUUAAGUCCCGCAACGAGCGCAACCCUUGUCAUUAAUUGCCAUCAUUCAGUUGGGCACUUUAAUGAGACUGCCGGUGACAAACCGGAGGAAGGUGGGGAUGACGUCAAGUCCUCAUGGCCCUUAUGGGUAGGGCUUCACACGUAAUACAAUGGUCGGUACAGAGGGUUGCCAACCCGCGAGGGGGGAGCCAAUCCCAGAAAACCGAUCGUAGUCCGGAUUGCAGUCUGCAACUCGACUGCAUGAAGUCGGAAUCGCUAGUAAUCGCGGAUCAGCAUGUCGCGGUGAAUACGUUCCCGGGCCUU